rnacentral:rRNA from 1 species
CCUACGGGAGGCAGCAGUGAGGAAUAUUGGUCAAUGGACGCAAGUCUGAACCAGCCAAGCCGCGUGAAGGAAGACGGCUCUAGGGGUUGUAAACUUCUUUUAUACGGGAGUAAAAGGUGCUACGUGUAGCGGUAUGAAUGUACCUUAUGAAUAAGGAUCGGCUAACUCCGUGCCAGCAGCCGCGGUAAUACGGAGGAUUCAAGCGUUAUCCGGAUUGAUUGGGGUUAAAGGGUGCGUAGGCGGGUUGUUAAGUUAGAUGUGAAAACCCCGGGCUCAACCUUGGAACUGCAUUUGAAACUGUACGGCUUGAGUGCAGUAGAGGUAGGCGGAAUAUGUGGUGUAGCGGUGAAAUGCUUAGAUAUUAGGAAGAACACCGAUUGCGAAGGCAGCUUACUAGACUGCAACUGACGCUGAGGCACGAAAGCGUGGGGAGCAAACAGGAUUAGAUACCCGUGUAGUC